rnacentral:rRNA from 1 species
AUUGAACGCUGGCGGCAGGCCUAACACAUGCAAGUCGAGCGGGAACUUCGGUUCUAGCGGCGGACGGGGGAGUAAUGCGUAGGAAGCUACCCGACAGAGGGGGAUACCAGUUGGAAACGACUGUUAAUACCGCAUAAUGUCUACGGACCAAAGUGUGGGACCUUCGGGCCACAUGCUGUCGGAUGCGCCUACGUGGGAUUAGCUAGUUGGUGAGGUAAUGGCUCACCAAGGCGACGAUCCCUAGCGGGUUUGAAAGGAUGAUCAGCCACACUGGAACUGAGACACGGUCCAGACUCCUACGGGAGGCAUCAGUGGGGAAUAUUGGACAAUGGGCGAAAGCCUGAUCCAGCCAUGCCGCGUGUGUGAAGAAGGCCUUCGGGUUGUAAAGCACUUUCAGUAGGGAGGAAGAGUUGAGUGUUAAUAGUACUCAGCUUUGACGUUACCUACAGAAGAAGCACCGGCUAACUCUGUGCCAGCCGCCGCAGUAAGAC